CAAACAAGUUAAAGGAGUUCACCACCACUAAACCAGCCUUACAAGAAACAUUGAAGGGAGUGGGAAGAAAAGGCCAUAUCAGGAACAAGAAAAUUAUGGAAGGAAAACAUUUCACAGGACCUCUAGUAUGUAACAAAAUUGGGAAGUCACUCCAUGAGUAGUCCCAUGAUGGGAAACUAAUGCUUCCUGCCAAAAGCAGAGUGUGCUUGGAAGGAGAUCCUCUGUGCCUCAUCAAGUCAUCAAAGACUAUAACCCUGGCUGACAGUGUGACUGCACACCAUGAGACACCCUGAUGCUGCAACACCCAGCUUGGCUGCUCCCAGAUGCCUGACCCUCAGAGACAGUGAGAUAAUAAAUGCUCAUCAUUAUAGA